CUAAAUCCCCGAUUUCUUCUCCUCUUUCCCGAUUCUGCCGAACCCACCUCCCUCUCCCGAUCUCCUCCUCCUCACAUUAUGCCCGAGACCCCCUUCCCUCUCCGACGAUUCCUCCUCGCCCGAUCGCCAGCCACCGCGAGUUCACCGCCGGCAGCGACCUAUCCUCUGCGUGCCUCACCAACACCAAGCUCUCUUGGCUGUCGAUCCUCUCCUCCCUCUCCCUCGUGAUUCCUCCCCUAACUCGCGAAGCCGACCUUGUGCUGCAGCGAUUCGCCGAUCGUCGGGCAUCCAUGAGCAGCCGGUGCUGGCCACCGAUUCCUGAGCCCUAGCUUCGGGUCUAUAACCUUCUUCUUGACCCACGACGCCACCCUAGCAUGACUCGAUCUUGGACCAAAGCAAGAAUCGGAGCCCUAGCUCCCAUUCCUCGUCAUAGUAGCUGUGGAUCGCACGACACCACCUGUAGGGAUUGAUUGAGUCUAGGAGGCGACGUCGGAUCAACCAGUUGAUGGUUCUUCCCUAAGCAGAUCAUGAUCUUCUCCAUUCCUUGCAGUUGAUUGAAGCCUCGGGUGAAGAGCUACCAGGCAGUGUCUUGCUGGGGUACGAGCUCCUGAUUUACUGCCAUCUCUCAAGGACUUGGAUUCAGGAUGAGCGUCUUGACACGGGAUUACUUGGCACGAUCUACAUUUUCAG